UGGCAUAUCCACCAAUCUUCCCAAAAUCUAACAUUAUCCCAUUUCCCACAACAAACUUACGUAAGGAAAAGAAAAUUUCAGUAUGUUUCGAUAUAUCAAACCAAAACUGGGAAUCCCCGUGUCUAUGUGAUAUUUGUUCCAUAUCAGACUAUGUGAGAGUCCUUAUGUGUUAAAGAUUUUCCACCACCAUUUACAUAAUAAAUCCUUGUUCAUAGAUUUCAAGUUUUGUAUUCAUAGCCCCCCCUUCUGUUUCUUGGCCUACACACCUCACGUCAUUUGAUAAAAUGGCAUUUGUUUUUGUUACUAUCUUCCCACCAGAGUAAUCUAGCUCUAAAA
rnacentral:lncRNA from 1 species